AUCGCUCCAUCGCAAACACGACGAACAGUUGCGUAAAAAUGUCCAUGUAGGAAAGCACAUCACACCAACCAGUUCACACUAUUUCGAAUUAGACCUUCGCAGUUUGACUGUCUAAGUUCGAGACACUCUGCAUCUACAGAAGGUAUUACUACUGAAAUAAAUUCGGGAACAGGAUAAGGAUUUUCAAUUCGGUUUAGGUACUUUGGAAAAAAAGCAAGAAUUAUGCAAUGCUGAAGCAAUAACUACCAUUUUAACUGUUUUGCAUUGAACGACGGGGGAUUGCAUCUCCAUCCUCCUCAAUUAACUUAUGAUGUACAGCACUGAGGGCCUACGUUUCAUACAAUAUUCAGACCAUUUUAAUGAAAAAUUUAAAAAUAAAAAUGUUUUUAACAGAA